GUUGGGCCUGCUCGGUGAGAAGAAAAAUUUAACAGCUGCGGUAUUAUAACUGUACUAAGGUAGCAUAAUAAUUUGCCUUAUAAAUUAAGGCUAGAAUGAAUGGUUUGACGAAAAUUAGACUGUCUUUAUUUUAUUUGUUAGAAAUUAAUUUUUAUAGUGAAAAAGCUUGAAUAAUUUAAGGGGACGAGAAGACCCUAUUGAGCUUUAUUUAUUAAUAUUUAAAUAUAAAUAUAUAAUUUAUAUUAUGAAAAUUAUGUUGUAUAUAUAUAUAUAUAUAUUUAAUUGGAUUUAAUUUUGAUUGGGGUGAUCAAGGAAUAAAGAUAAAGUAACUUCCUUAAAAUUAAUGAUUGUUUUUAUGGAGUAAUAAACCAAGUUUUUUGCUUAUAAGAUAAGUUACCAUAGGGGUAACAGCGUAAUUUUUUUUGAGAGUUCAUAUUGAAAAAAGAGAUUGCGACCUCGAUGUUGGAUUAAAAAUUACCUUAAGG
rnacentral:rRNA from 1 species